GUUUUGAGUCAGUUUCGUAAACCAUGCGAUAGUGUCUCAUCUUGAUAAGAUUUUGCUUUCAAAAGCAGAACACCCUCCCUCACUUCCUUUACAUCGACUGAAGAUUAUCUGCACUCCCCUCCUCAAUAAUGGGUUUGGGAGCACUCAUUCACUUUGUGAGAGAGUGCAUCCAUAAGUACCUCUACUUUUCCAAGGCUACAGUAUGCAUCCAGGGUUUGGUUUUCAGCCAUAGCUUCGUCAACCAUGCGAUAAUUUCUAUCUUGAUAACGUACCUCCAAAUCAAUUGGUCUCAGCCACAUUUUCAAAUAGCUGCCGUAGUUACCAAUGUGCAAGAA